rnacentral:lncRNA from 1 species
CUGAGCUUUUUCUCAACCUGUUUCCUAUCAAGAAUAGAACCUGAUGAAAAUGACCUCCUCAAGAGAGAGACUCUCAAGCAGGGCUUCUUAAAGUUGGAAAUCCCCACAGAUCACCUGGGGGGCUUGUUAAAAUGCAGAUUCUGACUCUGUAGGUCUGGGGUAGGGCCUGAGAUUCUGCAUUUCCAACAAGCUCCAAGAUGCCCCUGCUGCUGGUCUAGGAACCACAGUUUGAGUAGCCAGGAUCUAAGUGUCUCUUGAUGUCAGACUCUUCAGCUAUGAUUACUGAACAAUAAUUGGGCUAAUGGUGUUGGGUUUAAGACCCAGCAUUUUCCACAAGCAUGUAUACUAUAUGUACCUCACUUUGGAAAGGAUGGUCAAACUCUGGACCCACAGGCAGAUAAUGGCCAACUGGAAAAUUUCUUUAUGCAUCUUCUCAGAGAUCUCUUCUGAUGGAUCUGAAAAAAGGAAGUGGCCCUAUAUAAAAUGAAGUUGGGAUGCCAGAAAUACCUUGGUAUGGUGUGAAAGAAGGAAUUCAAAGGCUUAGAGAGAUGAGAAUGUUGGAGUGGCUUCAUCAUGUGCAACUGGCUUGCCCAACCCACAACUAUGUUCCCUGAGAUGGCAUAGAAGAUAUUCCCUUCACCGUGGCAAUGAAGAAUAAAUUGUUGGAGGUGAAAGGAGCAUCCAUGAAAAGCACUGUAUUGGUGGUUCUCUGUAGGCAGGACACAAAGACAGGAAAUGCAACCAUUGAAAUGGGGUGGUUGAGACAGAGGAUGAACUUUAGAAAUAUAUUGUCAAAAUAAAAUCAAUCCUCAAGAAAUUAUGAUCCGGAGUGCAUUAUCCCCUCCUUCGGGAAGAAUGGACAUCUUUACAAGAUUAAGUCUACCCAACGAGGAACAUGGGAAAAGCAAAGAUUGCCUCCAAUCUCAAAUGGCUCAAGCAGAACUGGGAUACCAGCUAUAUGAAGCCAAUGCUGUCAUAUGUUCCGUUUGGGAUAAGAUUCAUUGCUGAGGAAUUUGUCUUAUGGCGAAGCUUGGAAAUAGCAGCUGUUUAUAAUUAAACAG